rnacentral:tRNA from 1 species
CACGUAGCUCAGCUGGAUAGAGCACGAGCCUUCUAAGCUUGGGGUCGGGGGUUCGAAUCCUCCCGUGC